rnacentral:rRNA from 1 species
AUACGUAGGGGGCUAGCGUUAUCCGGAAUUACUGGGCGUAAAGGGUGCGUAGGUGGUUUCUUAAGUCAGAAGUGAAAGGCUACGGCUCAACCGUAGUAAGCUUUUGAAACUAAGAGACUUGAGUGCAGGAGAGGAGAGUAGAAUUCCUAGUGUAGCGGUGAAAUGCGUAGAUAUUAGGGGGAAUACCAGUUGCGACGGCGGCUCUCUGGACUGUAACUGACACUGGGGCACGAAAGCGUGGGGAGCAAACAGGAUUAGAUCCCCUGGUAGUCCACGCCGUAAACGAUGAGUACUAGCUGUCGGGGGUUACCCCCCUCGGUGGCGCAGCUAACGCAUUAAGUACUCCGCCUGGGAAGUACGCUCGCAAGAGUGAAACUCAAAUGAAUUGACGGGG